rnacentral:rRNA from 1 species
CAGUAGCCGCGGUAAUACGGAGGGUGCAAGCGUUAAUCGGAAUUACUGGGCGUAAAGCGCACGCAGGCGGUCUGUCAAGUCAGAUGUGAAAUCCCCGGGCUUAACCUGGGAACUGCAUUUGAAACUGGCAGGCUAGAGUCUUGUAGAGGGGGGUAGAAUUCCAGGUGUAGCGGUGAAAUGCGUAGAGAUCUGGAGGAAUACCGAUGGCGAAGGCAGCCAUCUGGCCUAAUACUGACGCUGAGGUACGAAAGCAUGGGGAGCAAACAGGAUUAGAUACCCCAGUAGUCCCUGUCUCUUAUAC